GGGGUCGCAUCGCCUCGGGAGCUCGGCUGCGGUUUCUGAUUAACUUCGCUGGGGGGCCCGCUGCAGCUCCCCUUUGACACCUGCUCCCCCGGGGGGGGGGGGCGCGCUUCCGUGAACAGCCACUAACAAGCUAGCAAUAGCUUAAUAAAUACUUCCCUUUAGUCUGUGACAAGGCCCAUGGAUAAGGGUUACCUGUGCUCACAGGAAGGAAAGUUUCUGCAGACCCAAACCAGGACAUCCUACCUACACGAGAGAGGCCAGAUCAACAGCACACUCUCAAACAAGCAGGUGGAAGCAAGGAGGACUUGUAGCUGCAAUGCUUUCAGCUCCCAGGACAGAAAGGGUCUACUACUAGCACCAUUAACUGAAGUCUAAGCCGUGGUCUACACUAGGAGUUUAGGUCAAAUUUAGCAGCAUUACAUCAGCGUUAACCCUGCACCCUCCACACAACAAAGCCAUUUUUGUUGACUUAAUGGGCUCUUAAAAUUGAUUUCUGUACUCCUCCCUGAUGAGGGGAUUAGCGCUGAAAUCGACAUCGCUGGGUCGAAUUUGGGGUAGUGUGGACGUAAUUCGAGGGUAUUGGCCUUCAGGAGCUAUCCCAGAGUGCUCCAUUGUGACGCUCUGGACAGCACUCUCAACUCAGAUGCACUGGCCAGGUAGACAGGAAAAGCCCAGCAAACUUUUGAGUUUCAUUUCCUGUUUGGCCAGCGUG